GGACUAUAGCUCAAUGGUAGAGCAUUUGCUUUGGAUCCAGAAGAUUCCAGGUUCAAUCCCUGGCUUCUCCA